CGGGCCGUAGCGCAGAGGUCGACGCACCUCCCUGCAAGGAGGGGGACGCCGGUUCGAAUCCGGCCGGUCCGCCCG
rnacentral:tRNA from 1 species